GGGUCGAUGGCGUAGUUGGUUAUCGCGUCUGUCUCACACUCAGUUGAAUCAUCAAGAAAAGUGCACAGGAGGUCCUCAGUUCGAGCCUGGGUCGACUCA